UAGUAAGUGUCUCAAAGAUUAAGCCAUGCAUGUGUAAGUAUAAAUAGUUAACUUUGAAACUGCGAAUGGCUCAUUAUAUAGUUAUAGUUUAUUUGAUGAAGAAUACUAAUUGGAUAACCGUAGUAAUUCUAGAGCUAAUACAUGUAUAAAGUCUUGUAGACUGCAUUUAUUAGAAUGAAAACCAUAGGUUUCGGCCUAUUCGUGAGUAAUAAUAACUAAUCAUAUCGUAUGCUUAUGUAACGA
rnacentral:rRNA from 1 species